rnacentral:rRNA from 1 species
AGAGUUUGAUCCUGGCUCAGGACGAACGCUGGCGGCGCGCUUAACACAUGCAAGUCGAGCGAGAACCGGGGCUUCGGCCCCGGGGACAGCGGCGAACGGGUGAGUAACACGUGGAUUACCUGCCCUCGGCACCGGGAUAGCCCGGGGAAACUCGGAUUAAUACCGGAUAGCCCUUCCGACUUUCGAGUCGGUCGGAAAAGGUAGCUUCGGCCUCUGGCCGAGGAUGGGUCCGCGGCGGAUUAGCUUGUUGGUGGGGUAACGGCCUACCAAGGCUUCGAUCCGUAGCUGGUCUGAGAGGACGAUCAGCCACACUGGGACUGAGACACGGCCCAGACUCCUACGGGAGGCAGCAGUGGGGAAUCUUGCGCAAUGGGCGAAAGCCUGACGCAGCGACGCCGCGUGGGGGAAGAAGGCCUUCGGGUUGUAAACCUCUUUCAGGAGGGACGAAGCUACUCGGGUUAAUAGCCCAGAGGGUGACGGUACCUCCAGAAGAAGCCCCGGCUAACUACGUGCCAGCAGCCGCGGUAAUACGUAGGGGGCAAGCGUUGUCCGGAUUUACUGGACGUAAAGAGCGUGUAGGCGGCAAAGCAGGUCUGUUGUGAAAACUGGAGGCUCAACCUCCAGACGUCGACAGAAACCGCUUGGCUAGAGUCCGGAAGAGGAGAGUGGAAUUCCUGGUGUAGCGGUGAAAUGCGCAGAUAUCAGGAAGAACACCAAUGGCGAAGGCAGCUCUCUGGGACGGUACUGACGCUGAGACGCGAAAGCGUGGGGAGCGAACAGGAUUAGAUACCCUGGUAGUCCACGCCGUAAACGAUGGGUGCUAGGUGUGGGGGGUGUCGACUCCCUCCGUGCCGCAGCUAACGCAUUAAGCACCCCGCCUGGGGAGUACGGCCGCAAGGCUAAAACUCAAAGGGAUUGACGGGGACCCGCACAAGCAGCGGAGCAUGUGGUUUAAUUCGAUGCAACGCGAAGAACCUUACCAGGGCUUGACAUGCGCUAGAAAACCGUAGAAAUACGGUCCUCCUUCGGGACUGGUGCACAGGUGGUGCAUGGCUGUCGUCAGCUCGUGUCGUGAGAUGUUGGGUUAAGUCCCGCAACGAGCGCAACCC